rnacentral:rRNA from 1 species
CCAGUAGUCAUAUGCUUGUCUCAAAGAUUAAGCCAUGCAUGUCUAAGUAUAAGCAAUUAUACCGUGAAACUGCGAAUGGCUCAUUAAAUCAGUUAUCGUUUAUUUGAUAAUACCUUACUACUUGGAUAACCGUGGUAAUUCUAGAGCUAAUACAUGCUGAAAAUCCCGACUUCGGAAGGGAUGUGUUUAUUAGAUAAAAAACCAAUGCCCUUCGGGGCUUUUUGGUGAUUCAUGAUAACUUUACGGAUCGCAUAGCCUUGCGCUGGCGACGGUUCAUUCAAAUUUCUGCCCUAUCAACUUUCGAUGGUAAGGUAUUGGCUUACCAUGGUUUCAACGGGUAACGGGGAAUUAGGGUUCGAUUCCGGAGAGGGAGCCUGAGAAACGGCUACCACAUCCAAGGAAGGCAGCAGGCGCGCAAAUUACCCAAUCCCGACACGGGGAGGUAGUGACAAUAAAUACUGAUACAGGGCUCUUUUGGGUCUUGUAAUUGGAAUGAGUACAAUUUAAACCUCUUAACGAGGAACAAUUGGAGGGCAAGUCUGGUGCCAGCAGCCGCGGUAAUUCCAGCUCCAAUAGCGUAUAUUAAAGUUGUUGCAGUUAAAAAGCUCGUAGUUGAAACUUGGGCCUGGCUGGCGGGUCCGCCUCACCGCGUGCACUCGUCCGGCCGGGCCUUCCUUCUGAAGAACCUCAUGCCCUUCACUGGGCGUGCUGGGGAAUCAGGACUUUUACUUUGAAAAAAUUAGAGUGUUCAAAGCAGGCCUUUGCUCGAAUACGUUAGCAUGGAAUAAUAAAAUAGGGCGUGCGUUUCUAUUUUGUUGGUUUCUAGAGACGCCGCAAUGAUUAACAGGAACAGUCGGGGGCAUCAGUAUUCAGUUGUCAGAGGUGAAAUUCUUGGAUUUACUGAAGACUAACUACUGCGAAAGCAUUUGCCAAGGAUGUUUUCAUUAAUCAGUGAACGAAAGUUAGGGGAUCGAAGACGAUCAGAUACCGUCGUAGUCUUAACCGUAAACUAUGCCGACUAGGGAUCGGGCGAUGUUCUUUUUUCUGACUCGCUCGGCACCUUACGAGAAAUCAAAGUUUUUGGGUUCUGGGGGAUUAUGGUCGCAAGGCUGAAACUUAAAGAAAUUGACGGAAGGUCACCACCAGGCGUGGAGCCUGCGGCUUAAUUGACUCAACACGGGGAAACUCACCAGUCCAGAUGAAAUAAGGAUUGACAGAUUGAGAGCUCUUUCUUGAUUUUUCAGUGGUGGUGCAUGGCCGUUCUUAGUUCGUGGGGUGACUUGUCUGCUUAAUUGCGAUAACGAGCGAGACCUUACUCUGCUAAAUAGCCAGGCUAACUUUGGUUGGUCGCCGGCUUCUUAGAGAGACUAUCAACUCAAGUUGAUGGAAGUUUGAGGCAAUAACAGGUCUGUGAUGCCCUUAGAUGUUCUGGGCCGCACGCGCGCUACACUGACAGAGCCAACGAGUUCUUUUCCUUGUUCGAAAGAAUUGGGUAAUCUUGUUAAACUCUGUCGUGCUGGGGAUAAAGCAUUGCAAUUAUGCUUUUCAACGAGGAAUGCCUAGUAAGCGCGUUUCAUCAGCAUGCGUUGAUUACGUCCCUGACCUUUUGUACACACCGCCCGUCCGCUACUACCGAUUGAAUGGCUCAGUGAGGCCUUCGGACUGGCUCGAGGAGGUUGGCAACGACCACCUCAAGCCGGAAAGUUCGUCAAACUCGGUCAUUUAGAGGAAGUAAAAGUCGUAACAAGGUCUCCGUAGGUGAACCUGCGGAGG